rnacentral:rRNA from 1 species
UUGAACGCUGGCGGCAGGCCUAACACAUGCAAGUCGAGCGCGAAAGGUUUUCGGACUGAGUAAAGCGGCGGACGGGUGAGUAACGCGUGGGAAUCUGCCCAGUAGUGGGGGACAACAGUCGGAAACGACUGCUAAUACCGCAUACGCCCUACGGGGGAAAGGGGGGGAUCUUCGGACCUCUCGCUAUUGGAUGAGCCCGCGUCGGAUUAGCUAGUUGGUAGGGUAAAGGCCUACCAAGGCUACGAUCCGUAACUGGUCUGAGAGGAUGAUCAGUCACACUGGAACUGAGACACGGUCCAGACUCCUACGGGAGGCAGCAGUGGGGAAUAUUGGACAAUGGGGGCAACCCUGAUCCAGCCAUGCCGCGUGUGUGAAGAAGGCCUUAGGGUUGUAAAGCACUUUCAGUGGGGAGAAAGGUUUGUCACCUAAUACGUGAUGAAAUUGAUGUUACCCACAGAAGAAGCACCGGCUAACUCCGUGCCAGCCGCCGCGGUAA